AUUAAAAAAUUUAUUUUAAUAAUUUUUAAAAAAAGUAUUUUUUUGUUUUAUUAUUAAUAAAGAAAAAAUAUAAUUUAUUAUAAAUUAAAGUAUAGUGAUAGAAAAUUUAAAUAUAUUUAAAAUAUAAAUUUUUAUAAGAAAAAUUUAAUUUUUGUACCUUGUGUAUCAGGGAUUAUUAAAUUAAUUUUAUUUAUUUAAAUUUCUCGGUUUUAAAAGAGUUAAAAUUUUAUCUAUUUUAUUGUUAAAUUAAUAUUUUAAAUAAAAUUUUAGUAAUGAAACGUUAUUCGUUUUUAAAUAUAUCUAGUUUUUCAAGAAAUAAAUUUAAUUUAUUUAUUAAUAUUAAUUAAUAUUAUUAUUAAUUUUAAUUUUAUUAAUAAAAAAUAUUUUAAGGGAUAAGCUUUAAAAUAAAUUUAUAUAAAAUAUUAUUUAUUAAAAUAUUUAUAGAAUUAAAAAUUUUUAUUAUUUAUAAUUUGUUAUAAUUAGUUUUUUUAUAUAUAUUAUUUAUUAAUUUUUAUAUUUUUUAUUGAAAUUAUUUAUUUAAUUUUAUUUUAAAUGUAAUAAUGAUAAUAUUAGUAUAAUUAUUUUGUUUAAAUAUUUUAUUUAAAUAAGGUUAAGUUAAGGAAUUCGGCAAAUAUAUUUUUCGCCUGUUUAUUAAAAACAUGUCUUUUUGAUUAUAAUUUAAAGUCUAACCUGCCCAAUGAUUUAUUUAAAUGGCUGCAGUAUUUUGACUGUACAAAGGUAGCAUAAUCAUUAGUUUUUUAAUUGAAAGCUAGAAUGAAUGGUUGAACGAGAAAAUUACUGUCUCAAUUUAAUUUAAUUAGAAUUUUAUUUUUAAGUUAAAAAGCUUAAAUAAAUUUAAAAGACGAGAAGACCCUAUAGAGUUUAAUAUUUUAUUAAAUAAAAAUUUUAGAAUUUUAAUUAUUUAAUAAAAUAUUUUAUUGGGGUGAUAAAUAAAUUUAAUAAACUUUAUUUUUUAUACUACAUUUAUUUAUGAUUUAUUGAUCCAUUUUUUAUGAUUAAAAGAUUAAAUUACCUUAGGGAUAACAGCGUAAUCUUUUUAAAGAGUUCAAAUCGAAAAAAAGGAUUGCGACCUCGAUGUUGGAUUAAAGUUAAAUUUUGGCGUAGAAGUUAAAAUAUUAAGUCUGUUCGACUUUUUAAACUUUACAUGAUCUGAGUUUAAACCGGUGUGAGCCAGGUUGGUUUCUAUCUUUAAAAAAAAUAAAUAUUUUAGUACGAAAGGACCAUUUAUUUAUAAAAUUUAUUAAAAGUUGAAUAUUAUU
rnacentral:rRNA from 1 species